AACAACAAUGUCUGUCAGAUGUUGCCCUACAAUAAAUAUAAUGUACAGUUCGUGGUAAUGACGAACACAGUGAAGGAUAGCGUGCAUGUAAAACGGGGUCAGUGCUUGUCCAGAGUUGCUGCCUACAAGGUUAAUCUUUUUUUUCUUUUUCCCACGCUUGUAUUUAAUCAGCGUUAACUUUCCCUCGUGCCCGGGGGCUAUCAAACUUGAACUGCAGGUAAAACUUCACGGAGCCAUACAGAUGAACCUAUAGCCCAAGCUGUGUGUUAGUCUAUAGAGAGAGCAGCAGCAGCAGCAGCAGCAGCAGCAGCCUGCAUUGUCCCAGGAUGUAUUACAGUAUAUGGGUGCCCCCUAGCGUAUGAUUUGUUUUUGCUUCAAACAAGAUUCAAUUUAGAGGAGCCAUCCGACAAGGAAACCGCUUCAGUCUCGUCUCUCGCAUCGACCAAACUAACGAGCACCAUUUUAAACUGAUGACUGUUUGUUUAAAUUCUGUUUUACAUGACUUGGACGGCAAAGCUUUGAGAGUUGCCAAAGUUGGAUUUACUUUUUGCCACUUCAGGCAGUCCCAGCGGUGAUCCCGUGAACAUGGAGAGUCUGUAAAUAAAAAUACUCCGCAAGGUAUCGACUUAUCGAGGAGCCAGUUUCGCUACAAAUGGAACUACUGCUGAAGUGCCCUUCGGCAAAGCAGCUUAAGCCCCAUCUGUCCCGGUGGAGCCGCAGAGCGACCAGCAGUACAAGACUGCGGUUGUACCAGGCACUUGUGAGAUGUGUCUCUUUGAGUGUGACCUGCCCUCCCUUUUCUUUUUAAAGAGGGAGAGUGGGCAGUCCACUCGCCUCACACUUUUUUUUUUUCUUCCAUGUACUCAGACAGUGAAAAAGUUUGGGAGAAGACACAAGAGAGAAAGCUGUGGCAGCAUUCAGUCCUGAUCCAGACAUGGUUCACAUGUGGCCCCAAAGGCAGCAGACAGCGUAUUGAAUUACUGUAAUUCAAGGUGUAAUGUAGUAGCGGUGUGGGAUAUGUAGAAACUACACAAACGGGUGUAGAUGAGGCAAACUGCAGCUUCAGCGUUCUAAUUCAGAUACUUUAUGUUAAAUUGUACCGUUUAUUUUCUUACAUGACAGAUAUAAUCAGUUAUAACUGCAACCGUACUUUUUAUAGUGAUCAUCAAUGUCUCAUUAUCAUUAGAUUUACCAACUAUAUCAAACUGUAUCAUCAUGUGAAAACCUUGUAUCUCCAGGAAUUGUGAUUUUCACGUGUUUAUUUGCAUUAAAGAAUUAUUUGCUUUGUAGCGCAAGGAGAAAUCACUUGCAUGCAUGAGUGUACAGCUAACACCAUACCUGCUUUCUUACUUCUUGAACGACAUUUUGGAGAUACGGGGUUUUGAUGCGACAGUGAGCUAUGCGCAAUGAUGGGAUGACCAAUGCAGUUAAGUGUUAGUGAAGGAGCCAAUUAAGAAGUGUGUAUAAUUGCAAUCUGCAGUGUUACACCUGCCACAUCCAUGACUAAUAAAGUUUAAAGAUAUCACAUGA